UGCUGGGAUUACAGGCGUGAGCCACUGUGCCCAGAACCUGCCCGACUUUUUUUUUUUUUUUAGUAAUAGCCAUCCUAGUAGGUAUGAAGUCAUAUCUAACUGUGGUUCUGGUUUGUACUUUUCCAAUGACCAGUGACAUUGCAGAUCCUUCCAUGUUUGUCACCCCCUUGUCUAUGUAUGUAUUUGUUUUUUUGAGAAAUGUCUAUUUAAAUCCUUUGCCCAUUUUAAAAUUAGGUUGUUUGUGGUUUUGUUCCUCGGUUUAAAGAGUCAUUUAUAUACUCUGGACACUGAACCCUUAUCAAAUAUAUGAUUUGUAAAUAUUUUUGCCCCUUUGUGGGUUGUCUUUUUACCUUCUUGAUAAUGUCCUUUUCUGCAACAAUUUUUGUUAUUUUGAUGAAGUCCGAUUUAUCUGUUCUUGUCACUUGUGAGAUUUACUCCAGUGUUUUCUUCCAAGGGUCUGUAGUUUUAGCUUUUACAGUUAGAGCUAUUAACCCUUUUUAAUUCUUGUGGGUGAUGUGAGACAGGUGUCCACCUUCAUUCUUUUGCAUAUGGAUGUCCAGUUGUCCUAGAACCAUUUGUUGAAGAGACUAUUCUUUCUCCAUGGAAUAGUCUAGGCACCCUUGUCAAAAACCAAUUGCCCCAUGUGUAUGGCUUUAUUCUGGAUUUUCGAUUCCACUUCAUUCACUUACAUCUGUCAUUGUGCUAGUGCCAUACCGUAUUGAUCACUGUAGCUUUGUAGUGAGUUUUGAAAUAGGGAAGUCCUCCAACUUCUUUCUUCUUUUUCAAGAUUGUUUUGGUCUUGCAGUUGAAUGGGUCUCUUGCAGUUACAUGUGAAUUUUAGGAUCAACUUUUCUAUGUAUGUAAAAAAGGCUUAAUGCCAGUGUUUUAAUAGAGGACCUAAGUCUUCCAUGCUCAAAGGCCUUCUUCUGGGCAUACUGUGAGAUCUUACUGUUGGCCAACUACUUUACUAAGCAGUUCAGUCAUCCAUGUAGGUUAACAAUUUGAAAUCAGAACUGACUAGUUAGCCAUCCCUGAAAGUGAAAUUUGGGUUUUGCCCAAAAGAUUCAAUAGAUUUAACUCUAUGAUUUUAGACAAGCCCUACUUCUAAAUAUAUUUCCUUUAAAGUACAUAUUUGAAAAAUCUUGAUACUAACAGGUAAUUACAAAGUACAGCAUUGACAGGAAACUUGAAAACUGAAGAGUCUUCUUUGAGGCAAGGAAACUAAAGUCUAAAAGUACCAGUAUCAGUCCUUGGCCUAUUAGGAACCAGGCUGCACAGCAGGAGGGGAGCAGGUGAAGUUCAUCUGUAUUUACAGCUGCUCUCCAUCGUUGGCAUUAACACCUGAGCUCCACCUCCUUUCAGAUCAGUGGCAGCAUUAGAUUCUCACAGGAGUGCGAACCCUAUUGUGAACUGCACAUGCAAGGGUUCUAGGUUGCACACUCCUUAUGAGAAUCUAAUGCCUGAUGAUCUGUCGCUGUCUCCCAUCACCCUCAGAUCAGACUGUCUAGUUGUAGGAAAACAAGCUCAGGGCUCCCACUUAUUCUGUAUUAUAGUGAGUUAUAUAAUUAUUUCAUUAUAUAUUACAAUGCAAUAAUAAUAGAAAUAAAGUACACAAUCUAUGUAAUGCACCUGAAUCAUCCUCCCGAGACCAUCUCCCACCCCCAGUCCAUGGAAAAAUUGACUUCCACAAAACCAGUCCCUGGUGCCAAAAAGGCUGGGGACCCCUCUUUUAAAAUAUUGAUUAGAACCCUCUGCUGAGAAUGAUUCUUUUCCAAGCUAAUAAACCAAAUUUGUACCUCAAGCAUAAGAUAUAGUUCUUGAGAUUCAUUAGAGAACCAAAUCUAACUAAAAUCAGACAGACAGUGACUUUUAUAAGUUAUGAAGUGGACAGGAAAUGCAGAGCAAUUGGGACAAAAAUACCUAGCCUUUCUCUAUCAAAAAACUAUUCUGCUUUUUUGUUAAACAGAUUGUGUUCUUAACUUUCAGAAAUGCCCUUAUGUUGAAUUACAGUGUCACUAGCUUUCCAGUCAUGAGUAACUCAUCUUCAUUGGGUCCCCCACAGUAGCAGAAUUUGAGGCAUUGUUAAUCAUUGUGCUUAUAAAUUUAAUUCCGUGCUAGUCUCAUAAUUCUUACUCAUUAGAUGAGAAUGAAGAUGAUAAUAGCAAACACCAAUGUAGUGCUUACCAUGGACCAGGGACAGUUUUUAUAUACUUUGUGUGUGUGUGUGUGUGUGUGUGUGUGUGUGUGUGUGUACGUGUGUGUGUGUGUGUGCAUACACAAUACCAAAUGCAAAGUGCUCCAAAAUUCUAAACCUUUUGAGAACUGACAGUGCUCAAAGGAAAUGCUCGUUGGAGUGUUUUGAAUUUUCGGAUUUAGGAAGCUGAACCAGUAAGUAUAUAAUACAAAUAUUCCAAAAUCUGAAAAGAUCCAAAAUCUGAAACACUUUUGGGCCCAAACAUUUUGAAAAAGGGACACACAUCUGUAAAGAGAGAAAGAGAAUAAUGUGUGCAUAUAUAUAUUAAAAUAAAUUUAUAUAAAAUACAUAUGUAAUAUUCUCAGCAACCCCAAAAGAGUGGAGGUUAUUAUCAAUAUUUUACAGAUGAGGAAACUAGGCACAGAACAGAUAUAAACCUUUUCCUGGGUAAUGCAGUUACUAAGUGGAGCAGAGAUUCAAACCCAAAUGAUUUUAAACUCCAGGGCCUAUACUCUUGAUCAUAAAGAUUUACAAUGUGUCAAGGGCAAGGUCAUUGUUCUUUGCAUUCUUAAGAAUCCUAGAAUAAAUAAUGAGAUUAUAGCCAAGCAGGUACUGAGUAACGGAGGCUGGAGCAUCUUUCCAGGCCAAAGAGGAGGGACAAAGGGCACAUAUUGGAGUCAGAAGAAAUAUUUGUUUCUCUUUCCCUUGUGUAUGUUUAUGGAAUAGAGAACAUCAGUUUGGGCUAUUGCUGUUUUUCUAAUACUACCAAGCACAGGGAUAGUCAAAAAAAAAAAAAAAAGAAAAGAAAACAAGCCUGGUCAAGGAGUCCUGAAGCCUAGUCGAGGAGCCUUAGGAUGAAAUAGGGUUAUAGCCUCAAUCUAUUGCUUAUUAGCCACAGAACUCAGCAAGUUGCCUAGCCAUCAGUUUUCUCCUCCAUAACAUAGAAGAAAAGGGAAAAGAAGGGCUAUGAUGAUCACAUGAAAUUAUGAUUAAUACCAUAUAAAUUAUUUAGAACUAUGCAAUUGUAAACCUUUCAUUUUAACUUAUGAUUCAAUUUAAAAUAUGUGAUCCUUAUGGCCUUUAUUAAGCUUAGUUUCCCACAAAAGUAUGUGCGUUUAAGUAGAAGGCAAUAUUUGUGGUUUUUAAUCAUACUUAGCUGCUUGAGUGCUUAAGUUGUCAUCUCUUAAGAAUUUCCUAUCACAUGAUUAAGUUUAGGUAUCCAUGAUCCCAGCUGAAAGAUUUUCUUGCUUUUUGGUCCAAAUUAGCAGGAGCACUAAAUGGCUAAGGUGGUAUUUGAGGUCUGGAGCUAAUAAUGUAAAUUAUGCUGUUAAAAUUUUAAAUAUUGAAAAUACUCCUUAGCUUCUACAAACACUAAUUCCUUUUCAACCUUGGCCACACUAUAAGUAGAUGACAGAGGGGGAGCCUCAGGAAUGCUGCUGGUAAUAAUAGAUGCCAUAUGAAUGGAGUGGCCAAACCCAAGGGGCCACACCAGCUUACAAGUGCCAUAUGGGCUCAUUUAUCUACAGUGGGGUUUGAGCACAGCUAUGAUGAAUAAAGUCCCUGGUGUAUUUCUUCUUUUUUUUCCUUCAUCCUUUUUCAAGAUUAGAUAUCUCCUCAUUCGGGAGGGCAAGACCUGUGGUUUGCAUCAACCUACCUUACGUAUUGUUGGAAGAGCCUUGGCGCCAAUGCCCUAAGCAGUUGAUUAUGCUGGUCAGACCGUAUCCAGAAUGUUGUAUUUGGACUGGGGUGGGAAGGGGGAUGCAUAUUAAGGUCAUUGGCAACUGGAAUGUGAGCAGGACUGUGAGCUCUCUGCAGAUGCCAUUGUGAGGAGCUUUAAGGGACUGAGGGGUUCCAGUUGGGAAAAGGAAAGAUGGUAGAAGAGAGGAUAGAAGGACACAGUCUUAACUUUUCUGUAUAGGUUUUUGAGGGGCUGCUGAUGUGGAAAGGGAAUUGGACCUGUCUCUGCAGCUCUAGUCUCUUAGGUCUUAGUUGCCACAUUUGUUCAAUCAAGGAUUGGAUUGUUUUUCAAAGGUCUCCCUCCAGGCCACAGUCCUAUGACUAAUGAGGCACCAUGACUAGGUGUCCCUGGAAGGCAGGCCUCUCAGAGUGAGGUCCUGUUUGUGAGUGGAAUGCGCCAAUAUUGUACUUCCCAAAAGAAAUGUAAUAUGAGCUACAUGUAAUUUUAGGUUUUCUAGAGCCUCAUUUUAAAAGAAAUAGAUGAAAUUAAUUCUAGUAAUAUAUUUUAUUUAACCCAAUAUAUCCCAAAAUAUUUCAAUAUGUAAUAAAUUUUAAAAAUGGAUGAGAUAUUGUACAUUCUUUGUUUCAUACAACAUCCUCAAACUCCAGUGUGUGUCUCACACUCACAGCACAUCUCAGUUUGUACUAGCCAUGUCUCAAGUGCUUAAGUGCCACCUAUGGCCAGUGGCUGCCAUCGUGGCCAGCACAGCUUUAAUGGCCACGUGAGUGCUUACCAUGUGCCAGACCUCACAGAACGCUUUAGAUCUUUUCAUCCAAUCCUUGCAUCAGUCCUGAGACAUUCCUGUUUUGUAAAUGAAAAAAA